rnacentral:rRNA from 1 species
UGCAGUCGAGCGGGGGAAGGUAGCUUGCUACUGGACCUAGCGGCGGACGGGUGAGUAAUGCUUAGGAAUCUGCCUAUUAGUGGGGGACAACAUCUCGAAAGGGAUGCUAAUACCGCAUACGUCCUACGGGAGAAAGCAGGGGAUCUUCGGACCUUGCGCUAAUAGAUGAGCCUAAGUCGGAUUAGCUAGUUGGUGGGGUAAAGGCCUACCAAGGCGACGAUCUGUAGCGGGUCUGAGAGGAUGAUCCGCCACACUGGGACUGAGACACGGCCCAGACUCCUACGGGAGGCAGCAGUGGGGAAUAUUGGACAAUGGGGGGAACCCUGAUCCAGCCAUGCCGCGUGUGUGAAGAAGGCCUUAUGGUUGUAAAGCACUUUAAGCGAGGAGGAGGCUACUUUAGUUAAUACCUAGAGAUAGUGGACGUUACUCGCAGAAUAAGCACCGGCUAACUCUGUGCCAGCAGCCGCGGUAAUACAGAGGGUGCGAGCGUUAAUCGGAUUUACUGGGCGUAAAGCGUGCGUAGGCGGCUUAUUAAGUCGGAUGUGAAAUCCCCGAGCUUAACUUGGGAAUUGCAUUCGAUACUGGUGAGCUAGAGUAUGGGAGAGGAUGGUAGAAUUCCAGGUGUAGCGGUGAAAUGCGUAGAGAUCUGGAGGAAUACCGAUGGCGAAGGCAGCCAUCUGGCCUAAUACUGACGCUGAGGUACGAAAGCAUGGGGAGCAAACAGGAUUAGAUACCCUGGUAGUCCAUGCCGUAAACGAUGUCUACUAGCCGUUGGGGCCUUUGAGGCUUUAGUGGCGCAGCUAACGCGAUAAGUAGACCGCCUGGGGAGUACGGUCGCAAGACUAAAACUCAAAUGAAUUGACGGGGGCCCGCACAAGCGGUGGAGCAUGUGGUUUAAUUCGAUGCAACGCGAAGAACCUUACCUGGCCUUGACAUACUAGAAACUUUCCAGAGAUGGAUUGGUGCCUUCGGGAAUCUAGAUACAGGUGCUGCAUGGCUGUCGUCAGCUCGUGUCGUGAGAUGUUGGGUUAAGUCCCGCAACGAGCGCAACCCUUUUCCUUACUUGCCAGCAUUUCGGAUGGGAACUUUAAGGAUACUGCCAGUGACAAACUGGAGGAAGGCGGGGACGACGUCAAGUCAUCAUGGCCCUUACGGCCAGGGCUACACACGUGCUACAAUGGUCGGUACAAAGGGUUGCUACACAGCGAUGUGAUGCUAAUCUCAAAAAGCCGAUCGUAGUCCGGAUUGGAGUCUGCAACU